AUUGAACGCUGGCGGCAGGCCUAACACAUGCAAGUCGAACGAGUGGCGGACGGGUGAGUAAUUUCUGGGAAACUGCCCGAUGGAGGGGGAUAACUACUGGAAACGGUAGCUAAUACCGCAUACCAUCGGAUGUGCCCAGAUGGGAUUAGCUAGUAGGUGGGGUAACGGCUCACCUAGGCGACGAUCCCUAGCUGGACUGAGAGGAUGACCAGACACACUGGAACUGGGACACGGUCCAGACUCCGACGGGGGGAAGCAGUGGGGAAGAUUGCACAAUGGGCGCAAGCCGGAUGCAGCCAGGCCGGGGGUAGGAAGAGGGCCUUCGGGUUGUAAAGUACUUGCAGCGAGGAGGCGUUACUCGCAGAAGAAGCACCGGCUAACUCCGUGCCAGCCGCCGCGGUAAUUC
rnacentral:rRNA from 1 species